GGUUGGCUCAGAAGCAGCCAUCCUUUAAAGAGUGCGUAACAGCUCACUAGUCGAGUGACCCUGCGCCGAAAAUGUACCGGGGCUAAGCCUGAUACCGAAACUGCGGAUUGUAGGAAACUAUAGUGGUAGGGGAGCGUUGUAUACGAGCAGAAGCCGUACCGUGAGGAGCGGUGGAUUGUAUAGAAGUGAGAAUGCCGGUGUGAGUAGCGAGAUGUAGGUGAGAAUCCUACACACCGAAAGCCCAAGGAUUCCAGGGGAAGGUUCGUCCGCCCUGGGUAAGUCGGGACCUAACGCGAGGCCGAAAGGCGUAGUGGAUGGAAAGCAGGCGAAAGAUUCCUGCACCCGUAUAUGGAGCGAAGGAGUGACGGAGACGGAUAGUGUGACCCUCUUAAUGGAUUGAGGGCGAAGCGAAGCGGCUGGUUACCAGGCAAAUCCGGUAACCAUAAGGCUAGAGCGUGACAGGUAAGCGAAAUCUUAGGAAAGUAGCGAAGCACAUGAUGACGGCUUCCAGGAAAAGCUUCUGGCAAUGCAUAUGCGGCCCGUACCAAAACCGACACAGGUGGGCAGGGAGAGAAUCCCGAGGUGAGCGAGAGAACUGUUGCCAAGGAACUCGGCAAAAUGACUCCGUAAGUUAGCGAGAAGGAGUGCUUAAGCAAUUAAGCCGCAGUGAAGAGGCCCAAGCGACUGUUUAACUAAAACACAGCUCUCUGCGAAGUCGCAAGACGAAGUAUAGGGGGUGACACCUGCCCGGUGCUGGAAGGUUAAGAGGAUCUGUUAAGAGCGAUCUGAAGCAGUGAUCCGAAGCCCCAGUGAACGGCGGCCGUAACUAUAACGGUCCUAAGGUAGCGAAAUUCCUUGUCAGGUAAGUUCUGACCCGCACGAAAGGUGUAACGAUUUGGGCGCUGUCUCGGCAGCAGACUCGGUGAAAUCUUAGUACCUGUGAAAAUGCAGGUUACCCGCAACUAGACGGAAAGACCCCAUGGAGCUUUACUGCAGCCUGAUAUUGAAUUCUGGUCAUACAUGUACAGGAUAGGUGGGAGACAAAGAGACGUGCACGCCAGUGUACGAGGAGUCGACGUUGGGAUACCACUCUUGUGUGACCGGGGUUCUAACCUGGUAUCGAGAACAGGUACGGGGAGAGUGUCAGGUGGGCAGUUUGACUGGGGCGGUCGCCUCCCAAAGAGUAACGGAGGCGCCCAAAGGUACGCUCAGAUUGGAUGGAAACCAAUCGUCGAGUGCAAUUGCAGAAGCGUGCUUGACUGUGAGACAGACAAGUCGAACAGGGACGAAAGUCGGGAAUAGUGAUCCGGCGGUGCCGAAUGGAAGGGCCGUCGCUCAACGGAUAAAAGCUACCCUGGGGAUAACAGGCUGAUCUCGCCCAAGAGUUCACAUCGACGGCGAGGUUUGGCACCUCGAUGUCGGCUCAUCGCAUCCUGGAGCUGGAUUCGGUUCCAAGGGUUGGGCUGUCCGCCCAUUAAAGCGGUACGCGAGCUGGGUUCAGAACGUCGUGAGACAGUUCGGUCCCUAUCUGUUGUGGGCGAAGGAGAUCUGCGGAGAGCUGUCCUCAGUACGAGAGGACCGGGAUGGACCUACCGCUGGUGCACCGGUUGUUCCGCCAGGGGCAUAGCCGGGUAGCUAAGUAGGGAAAGGAUAAGCGCUGAAAGCAUCUAAGCACGAAGCCUACUCCAAGAUGAGAUCUCCCAUUCGCAAGAAGUAAGACCCCUUAAAGACGAUAAGGUAGAUAGGCCAGGGAUGGAAGUGCAGUGAUGUACGGAGUUGACUGGUACUAAUCGGUCGAGGACUUAAUC
rnacentral:rRNA from 1 species